rnacentral:rRNA from 1 species
UUGGAGGGCAAGUCUGGUGCCAGCAGCCGCGGUAAUUCCAGCUCCAAUAGCGUAUAUUAAAGUUGUUGCAGUUAAAAAGCUCGUAGUUGAAUUUCGAGACCGGUUUACUGGUCGUGCUUUUGUACGUACUGGUAUUAUUGGUUUCUCCUUUCUGACGAAUCAUAAUGCCAUUAAUUUGGUGUUUUGGGGAAUCAGGACUGUUACUUUGAAAAAAUUAGAGUGUUUAAAGCAGGCUCACGCUUGAAUACAUUAGCAUGGAAUAACGAAAUAGGACGUUUGAUUUUAUUUUGUUGGUUUCUAGGAUCGACGUAAUGAUUAAUAGGGAUAGUUGGGGGCAUUAGUAUUCAAUUGUCAGAGGUGAAAUUCUUGGAUUUAUUGAAGACUAACUACUGCGAAAGCAUUUGCCAAGGAUGUUUUCAUUAAUCAAGAACGAAAGUUAGGGGAUCGAAGACGAUCAGAUACCGUCGUAGUCUUAACCAUAAACUAUGCCGACUAGGGAUCGGAUGAUGUUAAUUUUUAAUGACUCAUUCGGCGCCUUACGGAACAGUC